rnacentral:rRNA from 1 species
CAGCCGCCACGGGAAUACGGAGGGAGCUAGCGUUGUUCGGAAUUACUGGGCGUAAAGCGCGCGUAGGCGGUUACUCAAGUCAGAGGUGAAAGCCCGGGGCUCAACCCCGGAACUGCCUUUGAAACUAGGUGACUAGAAUCUUGGAGAGGUCAGUGGAAUUCCGAGCGUAGAGGUGAAAUUCGUAGAUAUUCGGAAGAACACCAGUGGCGAAGGCGACUGACUGGACAAGUAUUGACGCUGAGGUGCGAAAGCGUGGGGAGCAAACAGGAUUAGAUACCCCCGUAGUCCCUGUCUCUUAUAC